CCUACGGGUGGCAGCAGUGAGGAAUAUUGGUCAAUGGGCGAGAGCCUGAACCAGCCAAGUCGCGUGAAGGAUGAAUGUUCUAUGGUUUGUAAACUUCUUUUAUAUGGGAAUAAAGUGAGCCACGUGUUCCUUUUUGUAUGUACCAUAUGAAUAAGCAUCGGCUAACUCCGUGCCAGCAGCCGCGGUAAUACGGAGGAUGCGAGCGUUAUCCGGAUUUAUUGGGUUUAAAGGGUGCGUAGGCGGGGUAUCAAGUCAGCGGUAAAAAGUCGGAGCUCAACCCCAUCGAGCCGUUGAAACUGAUGAUCUUGAGUGGGCGAGAAGUAUGCGGAAUGCGUGGUGUAGCGGUGAAAUGCAUAGAUAUCACGCGGAACACCGGUUGCGAAGGCGGCCUGCCGG
rnacentral:rRNA from 1 species